CGCGAUGCAUCUAGAUUGGAUCCGCGGCCGCAGAGUUUGAUCCUGGCUCAGGAUGAACGCUGGCGGCGUGCUUAACACAUGCAAGUCGAACGGACCAUGAUGGCUUUUGUUGUUGUGGUUAGUGGCGAACGGGUGAGUAACACGUGAGUAACCUGCCCUCUUCUUUGGGAUAACUGCCUGAAAGGGUGGCUAAUACUGAUUAUUCUGCUGAUUCCGCAUGGUUUUGGUUGGAAAGAUUUUUUUGGUGGGGGAUGGACUCGCGGCCUAUCAGCUUGUUGGUGAGGUAGUGGCUUACCAAGGCUUUGACGGGUAGCCGGCCUGAGAGGGCGACCGGCCACACUGGGACUGAGAUACGGGCCCAGACUCCCUACGGGGAGGCAGCAGUUGGGGAAUUAUUGCACAAUGGGGCGGAGGCCUGAUGCA
rnacentral:rRNA from 1 species